rnacentral:rRNA from 1 species
UACGGAGGGGGCUAGCGUUGUUCGGAAUUACUGGGCGUAAAGCGCACGUAGGCGGCUUUGCAAGUUAGAGGUGAAAGCCCGGGGCUCAACUCCGGAAUUGCCUUUAAAACUGCAUCGCUAGAAUUGUGGAGAGGUAAGUGGAAUUCCGAGUGUAGAGGUGAAAUUCGUAGAUAUUCGGAAGAACACCAGUGGCGAAGGCGACUUACUGGACACAUAUUGACGCUGAGGUGCGAAAGCGCGGGGAGCAAACAGG